UACGAACUGUGCAAGCGUUAUUCGGAAUCACUGGGCUUAAAGGGUGCGUAGGCGGCUAUCUAAGCAGGGUGUGAAAGCCCCCGGCUCAACCGGGGAAUUGCGUUCUGAACUGGAUGGCUGGAGUGAGAUAGGGGUGUGUGGAACUUCCGGUGGAGCGGUGAAAUGUGUUGAUAUCGGAAGGAACGCCGGUGGCGAAAGCGACACACUGGGUCACAACUGACGCUGAGGCACGAAAGCCAGGGGAGCGAACGGG
rnacentral:rRNA from 1 species